UCAGAAAGUCAGUUUAAAAAACAUGAGCAUGCAUAACCACUAAGUUAACGGAAUAUACUGUGAUGAAACAAAACACUGAUGACACAAAAGUAGGUUGAAAAAAAGUUUUCAAUAACACAAAGUUCUUGUGUUGUCAUGGUGAUGCUUCUUAGUUACAAGGUUGAAGGUAAACAUAAGCAGUUAAGACUACAUCAGCAUCAAGCACAUUAUAUUUAAGUGAAAAAAAUGAUGCAACUACACCCUGCAGUUUCGAUGGGCCUGAAGGAGAAAAGAUAAAAAUAUAUGUAUCUGUUUUUGCCUGAUGAUAAGCAUGGUCACAAUAUAUGUUGAAGUUCAUCCAGUGAAAUACAUCCCAGCAGCUCUUCACCACGAUAGCACACAGGGAAAAAAAGUCAAAACACAUUAUGGAGUUAUGCCAGCAUACAAGACUCUGAAGACCUGUAGAUGAAUAUGUACUUGAAGAACUUCUCCCUUAGAUUAAAAGU